rnacentral:tRNA from 1 species
UCCUCGUUAGUAUAGUGGUUAGUAUUCCCACCUGUCACGUGGGAGACCGGGGUUUGAUUCCCCGUCAGGGAG